ACGUAGGGGGCAAGCGUUAUCCGGAAUUAUUGGGCGUAAAGAGUGCGUAGGUGGUUUUUUAAGCGUGAGGUGAAAGGCAAUAGCUUAACUAUUGUAAGCCUUGCGAACUGGAAGACUUGAGUGCAGGAGAGGAAAGUGGAAUUCCUAGUGGUGCGUUGAGUGGCGUAGAUAUGACGAGGAGCACCAAAGGCGAGGGCAACAAACUGUAUUAUAUCUCACACUGGGCCGCCGAACCGUCGCCAGCAUACAU
rnacentral:rRNA from 1 species